rnacentral:rRNA from 1 species
AGUGAACGCUGGCGGUAGGCCUAACACAUGCAAGUCGAACGGCAGCACAGGAGAGCUUGCUCUCUGGGUGGCGAGUGGCGGACGGGUGAGGAAUACAUCGGAAUCUACUCUGUCGUGGGGGAUAACGUAGGGAAACUUACGCUAAUACCGCAUACGACCUACGGGUGAAAGCAGGGGACCUUCGGGCCUUGCGCGAUUGAACGAGCGGAUGUCGGAUUAGCUAGUUGGCGGGGGAAAGGCCCACCAAGGCGACGAUCCGUAGCUGGUCUGAGAGGAUGAUCAGCCACACUGGAACUGAGACACGGUCCAGACUCCUACGGGAGGCAGCAGUGGGGAAUAUUGGACAAUGGGCGCAAGCCUGAUCCAGCCAUUCCGCGUGGGUGAAGAAGGCCUUCGGGUUGUAAAGCCCUUUUGUUGGGAAAGAAAUCCAGCUGGCUAAUACCCGGUUGGGAUGACGGUACCCAAAGAAUAAGCACCGGCUAACUUCGUGCCAGCAGCCGCCGUAA